rnacentral:rRNA from 1 species
GUGUCAGCCGCCGCGGUAAUACGAAGGGGGCUAGCGUUGUUCGGAAUUACUGGGCGUAAAGCGCACGUAGGCGGAUUGGAAAGUUGGGGGUGAAAUCCCGGGGCUCAACCCCGGAACUGCCUCCAAAACUAUCAGUCUGGAGUUCGAGAGAGGUGAGUGGAAUUCCGAGUGUAGAGGUGAAAUUCGUAGAUAUUCGGAGGAACACCAGUGGCGAAGGCGGCUCACUGGCUCGAUACUGACGCUGAGGUGCGAAAGUGUGGGGAGCAAACAGGAUUAGAUACCCUGGUAGUCCACACCGUAAACGAUGAAUUCCAGACGUCGGGUAGCAUGCUAUUCGGUGUCACACCUAACGGAUUAAGCAUUCCGCCUGGGGAGUACGGUCGCAAGAUUAAAACUCAAAGGAAUUGACGGGG